GGGACAGUGUCUGGGAGGUAGUUUCGCUGGGGAGGUGGUUUGCUAAAAAGUACCGCAAACGCGCAAAGGUACCCUUAGCGCGGAUAGAAAUCGCGCUGAAAGUGUAAAGGCAAAAGGGUGCUUGACUGUGACACUUACAAGUGAAGCAGGAGCGAAAGCUGGCCUUAGUGAUCCUCGAAUCCGUUGUGGAACGGAUCGGGCUUAUCGGAUAAAAGCUNNNNNNNNNNNUCGGUCUCUAUCCGCAGUCAACGUUGGAUUCUUGAGGGAAGCUGACCUCAGUACGAGAGGACCAGGUUGGGCCAGUCCCUAGUGUGCCGGUUGUCGCAUCAGCGGCACUGCCGGGUAGCUACACUGGUUCGGGAUAACCGCUGAAAGCAUCUAAGCGGGAAGCCCAUCCCAAGAUGAGGAAUCCCAUUAAGAUCCCUGGGAGACUACCAGGUGAUAGGCAGCCGGUGUAAGUGCCGUAAGGCAUUUAGCCUAGCUGUACUAAUCGAUCGAUCGAAA
rnacentral:rRNA from 1 species